rnacentral:rRNA from 1 species
GUGAGACAGUUUGGUCCCUAUCUGCCAUGGGCGCAGGAUAUUUGAGGAGAUCUGUCCCUAGUACGAGAGGACCGGGAUGGACGAACCUCUGGUUCACCAGUUGUCACGCCAGUGGCAUAGCUGGGUAGCUAUGUUCGGAAUGGAUAACCGCUGAAAGCAUCUAAGCGGGAAGCCAACUCCAAGAUUAGAUAUCCCUUUCUGAUGGUGACAUCAGAUCAGUAGACUCCCUGAAGAUGACAGGGUUGAUAGGCUGGAUGUGUAAGUCCUGUAAGGGAUUUAGCUAACCAGUACUAAUAAGUCGUGAGGCUUGACCACCUUUUU